UCCCUGUGGCUCUCCUGUCUGCUUUGGAAACUGGGGCUGGACUCUUUUGAAAGAUGCCUCUAUAUUACCAUUGCUUUGUUUAAUUGUUUCACACUGACUUUUUUUUUUUAUGAGGACUUAGUCUGUGCUGGGUACUGUGAAAGCUAGCAGACAGCACAGGGAGAGGCUAUGAUCUCUUUCUCUGUAGGCAUAUGUAUAGGUGGGUAGAAAAGUAUGUAGAGUCCAAAGGACAACCUUGGGUGUCACACCUCAGGCUCAUCCAUGUAACUAUCUGGCUUCCUCUGGGGUGGGGGAGCUUCCCUAAGGGGUUACAUGAAUUAUUGGCAUUUUUAUUCUGCAGUUCUAGUUAUGAUGUAGGGAGUGAACUGGGAAGAGGGGUUGUGGAAGCAGAGGGACAGUUAGGAAGCAUGACAAUCAAGUGAUCAAGGGAUGGUCUCCUCAACCAAGCUGAGGACAGCUUGGAGAUCAGGUGCCAGAACUGAAGUGCAUCCAGUGAAGAAAAGGAACGACCUUGCUGGUCACAGUCCACCAUGAUGGGACAAGUCAAGGCGGAAACUUAAGCAACUAGUCAAAUCAAAGCUGCAGUCAAGAGCAGAAAGAAAUGGAUGCACCCACACUGCUUGCUUACUCACACACGUUUUGGAGGCGUCUCUAUAUGUCUGCUGGGACAUCCUGACCAUUAUGUCAGCCAAGAGGAGUGUAGCAGGCAACGAUGAGAGGAUAAUUUCCCUGAACACUGACUUUGCACGAGAAGAGGAACGCAGAUGCAAGGCUGGGGCCAGGCAGGAGAAACACAGGGCCUGGAGCAUGGCCAGCAUUCCCUUCACCAGUGGCUGAUAGCAGGCACUGUACCAUUGCCUGGGGCCAGAGGGUAGCUAGGAGUGAUCAAUGGACACUUUCCACCAGAGGGAAUAAGAGAAGAGAUUUUCAGAACAGAAGCCAAUCAGGCACAUAAAAGAGAUCUACACAUGGACAGCUAAGAGCAGAAGUCGGGUCUGGAAGGUAGAAUGGGGUGACAGUGUUGUGACAACUCACAUCUCAAAGGAGCCAAAUGAAUCUGGUGGUGAAGAAGAAAAUUGACUCUGAGCCCUCUGGUUUCCAUGUCGUUCCAACAUCCCCUGGAAGCAAGAACUUCAUGGAUGCCCUUUUGACUUUAUGCUUUGACACCGAAUGUCCGUCUCCAGCCCAGGUUCGCCUGGAGCCCACGGGGUACUUCAGGGCGGCCUCAGACUUGCACUGAUUCUCUCCUUUCAGCACCAGAGCUGUAGGGACUACAGGUGUGCUCCUCCAUGCCCAGCUCUUGGUUGCAUUUUAGUUAGCACUGUGCCACUCUGACAAGGCUUCCACCCUUUGUCUGAGCUCCGAGCCACAGAAAAGAAUGAAUCUGUCCGAAAAGUAAGAGGAGCUUAAUACUUCUAGUAAGUGUGCAUGUGCAUGCAAACAAAGGAGGACAUGGAAAACAAAUUUGGCCCCUAGAAAUGUAGAGAGACAGUGUCAGAUUAAGAGUAAGGAACGUGGGCGACAGAACCCAAGAGCUGACGAGGCACUGGGGAAGAAUGGAGCUGUUUGGGAAAGAGUCACAGUUAUUUCCUAACAUUUUAAAAACCAAAGUUGGCUGGAAAAUAAAAGAUUUCUCCUUUCUUGAUAAGAUUACACUUUCCCCUCCACCAUUUAAGUCAUCACUCACUCUAGGACAGUUAGCCCAAUGUCUGCUUUCUGGAGGGUUCCUUCCUCAGACUCCCACAUGCCUUGGCUGAGCUUAGACUCGACUCCCCAAUAUUUCAUAAUGUUCCCUCCUGGAAAAUGCAUUCCAUGUUCCUAAAAUAGAAUUGGACCUCUAACUGGGAGCCCUAGAAGCCAGGGUGGGAAUUGAGUUUACAGCACAAAAUAGGCAUGCUUUCCACUGAGGGCAUUGCUCAGGGCGGGAUCUGGUCCCCUAGAGAUGGAGCAGGAAGGAAAAAGACAACAAGAGACUGUGUUGCUUCCCUUUGCCCUCCCAAGACUUUGGCCCACUGCAAGACUCCAACUUAUAACUUAUACCAACAGUGGAAAGCCUCACGCAGGCCCAAG